AUUGCACGCUGGCGGCAGGCCUAACACAUGCAAGUCGAACGAGUGGCGGACGGGUGAGUAAUGUCUGGGAAACUGCCCGAUGGAGGGGGAUAACUACUGGAAACGGUAGCUAAUACCGCAUACCAUCGGAUGUGCCCAGAUGGGAUUAGCUUGUAGGUGAGGUAACGGCUCACCUAGGCGACGAUCCCUAGCUGGGCUGAGAGGAUGACCAGCAAAAGGGGAAUGGAGAAACGGUCCAGACUCUGACGGGAGGCAGAAGUGGGGAAUAUGGCACAAUGGGCGCAAGCCUGAUGCAGCCAGGCCGCGUGUAUGAAGAAGGCCUUCGGGUUGUAAAGUACUUUCAGCGGGGAGGCGUUACCCGCAGAAGAAGCACCGGCUAACGCCGUGCCAGCAGCAGCGGUAAUAC
rnacentral:rRNA from 1 species